GGGGACCUCAUGUGGAGGAAGGAAAACGAACUGGUUCUCAGGGUUCUUGCCGGAGAGGGGGAGACAGGUUGAGGCGAGGGCAAAAGAGAGAUGAGGCUGAGUCAAGGCUAAGUGAGGACCCCAAACCCGGGAGAACACAGAAAGAACACUGAGGCUGGGCUCAUGGAAGGAACCGCGGAACAGAGGAGGGACUCCUUUGCCAGGGCUCGGGAUGGAGCGGGAAUAGCGCCUCUGAGUCACAGCAGUUGGGGAAAUCGGGUCUUUCUGGACCACGACUGAGAAGGAUGUCAGUCCGUGAACCAUGGAGCAUAACAGAGCGUGGAGAGGACCCGGCUCUUACCUGAGAGGCCGAAGAGCCCCGGGCCCAGGGCAGCCCAGAGGCCGAGCAACGCCCGGCACAGCCCCGGCGAAGGCCCCGGCAUCGCCGCCGCGGGGGAAGCGCAGGAGGCGAGGAGAGCGCGAGCGCUGAGCUGGGCGAGAGGACCGCGCGGCGGGCCGGGUGAUCAUCAAGACGUUGCCAGGACGCGAGUCUGUGACACCCCACGUGGGCCAUCCGAAUUUUCCUUCCCCGCAGUCACAACAUGGGUAUCUUUUCUUCGUAUCUUCGUCCCUCAACGUGUCAUGUGACCCCGUCCAUUUGCUCUCUCACCGCCAGCGCUAACGGUGAACUGUGGGGGUAGACGGCCCCCACGACGAGAAGGAUCCCCACAAGAGCCGCGAUGGAGCUGGAGGCCAAGGCUUUGGACGCGGGACGCCAAGCUGGGGACGGGAGUGCCCGGGAUCGCAGAGGUGCCUCACCGAGGCCACUCAGCGUUAUGGGUGCCGAGCUGCUGCGGACCACCAGGCCAUCAAGACUGAGGCGUGCGUGGCAGGUCACCGGUUUCCAGAAG